rnacentral:misc_RNA from 1 species
UGGCCAAAACCUAACCCCUCAAGCUAAGGAAAGUGGCGGAAAGGGAGAAGUUGUAGAGAGAAAGAGGAGAAAAUAAAGCCUGAUAUGUUUAUUUGAUUAUAACUACACAUGGCAUCACAUGUAUUGAUGAUGCUUCUAAAGUUGGUACAGAUGAUGUGCUAGACGAGGCUUAAGAACGACAUGUAGUGGUGCUGCUUUAGGUAUUGUGGCCCCCAAACCUUCACUCAUGUCUACAGGUGCAUUUGUCGGGGUUCUCAGAUUGAAGCCGUGAAGAAUACGAGCAAGCACCAAACAACUGAUUUUCAUGCCAGACGAUAUUCCAGGGCAAGCUCUUCUUCCACUGCUGAAGGGAAUGUACUCAAAAUUCUGACCUCGAACGUCGAAUUCAUGACCCUCACAAGCAAGAAACCUCUCAGGAUGAAAUUCGUUUGGAUUUCGCCAUAUACGUGGAUCGCGAUGCAACUUCCAAAUAUUGACCAAUAAUCUAGUUCCUUUAGGGACAUAAAAGCCACCUACAUAGCAAUCUUCCAUGGCCUCCCGUGGUACCGAGAGGGGACCUGAAGGGUAGAGCCGUAAUGUUUCCUUUACAAUGGCUUGGAGGUAUGGCAAAUUGUUGAAAUCUGAUUCUUCCACCCAUCUUUCUCGUCCAACGUGGUUGUCUAUUUCUUCUUGUGCUUGUUUUAGCACUUCUGGAUGAUUAAGUACCAACGAAAGCGCCCAAGUCAUGGCACCAGAUGUAGUGUCCAUGCCAGCUAUGAUCAAAUUCAUGGCUGUUGCCUUGACCACCGUUUCGCUCUUAUGUCCACAUAUCCAAUCCUCAUUUGCAAGUAAAGAAAGCAUCACAUCUAUGAAGUCAGGCUCUUCUUUCUCUUGCCCGUCUUCCCUCCUAUGAAGAUGCUCCUCUACCCACCUACUAAUGAAAUAGUCCAUGUCCUUAGCCGUUCUCUUCAUAGAUCUCGCAUGCCCCUGCAAAUCCAACCAUUCUGUACCUGGAAUCAAAUCCGAUAUCACAACCACUCCGAGUAGAUGCAUGAAAUUUUUGGUUGCUCUGCAGAAUCUCUCAGAUUCCUCAUCCUUAAUGAGUGGCUUUCCAGCUAUCAUUCUUAUCAUCAGGUUCAUCGUCAUAUUGGAAAACCACUGGUCCAUGUCCACCACAGUUGAACCAGUCCUGCCAUUAGUGCACAAUACGUACAAGUUCCUGACGCCAGUCUCUACCUCUGAAACCCGCACAUGCUUUAGCUUCUCAAGACGGGUAUUGGAUAAAAGCUCAAGAAUUGCAAGCUUGCGAAUAUCACGCCAAUAUGGUCCAUAGGGACUUAGCCCAAACAGGGCACCGUUGUAACCCAGAUAUUUUGAGGCAAUACAACUAGGACGAGUCAUGAAGACCCUGUCAUUGGUUUUGAAGCAAUCCUUUACAGCUUCCCAGCUGCUUACCACAAGAGCGGGUUUCGUCCCAAGUUGUAUAGUGAAAACAGGGCCGUGUUUAUCGGCCAUUGCUCCUAGAAUUCGGAAAAGUGGAACCCGAUCCUUGAGAAUAAGAAGAAGAUGGCCUAGUAAUGGCCAAGCACCACACGGCUCAGGGGCUAAUUUUCUCUUUCUAUUUUGGUUGUAGGUUACUAGUUCUGUUCUCCUUGAGUUGUGGACCAGAAAGAAGGCCAGAAGACAUGCAAUUGCAAGUAGGAAAGCUAGAACGUCCAUUAUUG